rnacentral:tRNA from 2 species
AUUCUUAUAGUGUAAUUAUAGCACAUUAGAUUUUCAAUUUUUUAGAACACGAUUAUGUGUUGAGAAUA